UACGUAGGGCGCAAGCGUCGUCCGGAAUUAUUGGGCGUAAAGAGCUCGUAGGCGGUCUGUCGCGUCUGGUGUGAAAUCCCAUGGCUCAACUGUGGGCUUGCAUCGGGUACGGGCAGGCUAGAGUACUGUAGGGGAGACUGGAAUUCCUGGUGUAGCGGUGGAAUGCGCAGAUAUCAGGAGGAACACCGAUGGCGAAGGCAGGUCUCUGGGCAGUUACUGACGCUGAGGAGCGAAAGCAUGGGGAGCGAAC
rnacentral:rRNA from 1 species